GGGGAUGAAAUGAUUCGACACCCGCAUGCUCUUUGACACCUACAAGCAGACUUUGGUUAACCGUCUUUAAAAAUUGACCAAAACUUAGCUGUCAACACUUUUGUCAGCACAGUAAAAGACAUUGCGGCUAAUUUCGCGGGCUAUGUUCGUGAAACAGUUGCUUUGGCUUUUACUCCCAGCGUUCCGGCUUUAGUCGAAGCGUAAGGCAUUCUGACCCAUUUUGUUUGCGGAAUCGGGCCAGGGUGUAAACAAACACAGACUGUAAACCCGAAGCUGACUCGUUCGGGUCCAAAUUAAGAGUCAAACUUUUUGCCUCGGCGCAAGCCGGGACUAAGCUUGUAAACGGUGCAUUUAGCCUCGGAUGGACGAGGGCUCAUUACCCUCCAUCUCCACCA
rfam:Candidatus Beckwithbacteria bacterium CG1_02_47_37 cg1_0.2_scaffold_3012_c, whole genome shotgun sequence.